GCAGGUUUGAUGUCUCAACCUACACUAGCUACGUAGUUAUGAAAUGCAAGGAUUGCUUCUAAAAAUCACACCCUUUACUGGCAGGUGAGUCCCUAUCAUUGGGUUCACUCGGUGCUGAAUCCUACUCUCAACUGAAUAGACACUGAACUGAUUUCCUAGUUCAUACUAGGCUUGACUGAACUGUUACUGAACUGGACUGGAUUAGUACUGAGUUUACUGAGUUUUCCUGGAUUUUAGAACUGACUAAAAGUACCAUUGAUAGUGACCUGA
rnacentral:lncRNA from 1 species